UUGCAUCCGUAAUUAAAGAGGAUGAGAACCUCCGAAGGAGGUUUGAGCCGAGCGCAGCGAGACAACGUUGCUUUAGCAACGGCCCGUAGGGGAAUAAUCCUCUCUCGCCGACCA
rfam:Cedecea davisae DSM 4568 genomic scaffold Scaffold0, whole genome shotgun sequence.